rnacentral:rRNA from 1 species
AUAAUGGGUCAGCGACUUAUAUUCUGUAGCAAGGUUAACCGAAUAGGGGAGCCGAAGGGAAACCGAGUCUUAACUGGGCGUUAAGUUGCAGGGUAUAGACCCGAAACCCGGUGAUCUAGCCAUGGGCAGGUUGAAGGUUGGGUAACACUAACUGGAGGACCGAACCGACUAAUGUUGAAAAAUUAGCGGAUGACUUGUGGCUGGGGGUGAAAGGCCAAUCAAACCGGGAGAUAGCUGGUUCUCCCCGAAAGCUAUUUAGGUAGCGCCUCGUGAAUUCAUCUCCGGGGGUAGAGCACUGUUUCGGCAAGGGGGUCAUCCCGACUUACCAACCCGAUGCAAACUGCGAAUACCGGAGAAUGUUAUCACGGGAGACACACGGCGGGUGCUAACGUCCGUCGUGAAGAGGGAAACAACCCAGACCGCCAGCUAAGGUCCCAAAGUCAUGGUUAAGUGGGAAACGAUGUGGGAAGGCCCAGACAGCCAGGAUGUUGGCUUAGAAGCAGCCAUCAUUUAAAGAAAGCGUAAUAGCUCACUGGUCGAGUCGGCCUGCGCGGAAGAUGUAACGGGGCUAAACCAUGCACCGAAGCUGCGGCAGCGAC